AGCAGAUUAACACCUUCAAAAAGGAGAACAUGAUUCAAGGAUCUUAGGUUGGAAUUAAGUUGUCCUGAGAAGUGUCAGGUAUCCAUUCUUUAUGUUCUCCUACGCAGUGAAGGGCACUAGAAAGACUACAAAAUGAAUUAAUAUUUUGUUUUGAAUAGGUAAAAACAAACAAACAAACAAACAAAAAACAACUAAACACAACUACACAACUUUGUGAUGGAACUCCUGCAAUUUUUUUUUUUUAAUUUUUUUUUUCUGCAAUUAUUUUAUACCUGGAAUAAUGGCCUACGACAAAUAAAAGGUAUUAUUUAGCCAUUGGCAUUUGGAUUUAAUUCAGAAUUCCUAAUUAAACUAGACAACACACACAUGCAGAACAUAUCUCUCAGAACAUAUCCUUGUUUAUUCAAUAAAAAAUACAAGAAUGGAUAACAAAAUAGUUUACUGACAGAUCCUAACAUUGGAAUGGUUAGGAAUAGGUUUGAUAAUAAUCAAUAACAAACCAACCUAACCUGAAAAAAACCCACAACCCACAUAGUAGAGAAGCUCACAAAUAUCAAUCUGGUGAGUUAGAGAAACACAUUUAUUAGUCUUGGUCCUAGAACAAAGCCAGUACACAGAUUUCUAGUAACAUAAGAUGAACAAAGAUGAGAAGCAGAUAGUUCAUUUAUUUGUCAAUUUAUUUAUUACUGAUAAUUUAAGAGUGGAUCAUCUACCAUUUGUGCUGCCAGUUUACAUCACCUUCUAGGUGACCAGAUAAAGGCUGGUUAAGCUUCACAAAGAUAAUAGCAAAAACAAAGACUUCAGAUCCCUGUAAGCCUAUUGUUUGUUUGUUUGUUUGUUUUCUUUGUUCCUUCCACAUUUUCCUGUAUGUUUCCAGGGACUAUUCCUUAAGAUUCACUUUCAGAAAUCUUAAUGGAAAGCACAGACUAAUGGAUGCUAUCUCUGUUUUUUUUUUUUUUUUUUUUUUUUUUUUUUUUUUUUUUUUUUUUUUUUGUUUUUUUUUUUUUUUUUUUUUUUUUUUUUUUUUUUUUUUUUUUUUUUUUUUUUUUUUUUCAGUAAUUUCAUUCAAUUUUGUUGUGAAGACCAUUCCAGAGUCAUCUUAGUCAGGUCCUCAAAGUGGAAAGGCAAACAAAUACUGGAUUGAUAUGUCUGGGAAACAGAAGGACUGGAGUCCAGGGAAUCUUUCAAUUUUUUGGAGAGUUCAUCCCCUGGAGAAGUGCAGUUUGCCAGGUCUCUUAUUCUAUGAGUAUAUUCAAGAGAAUAUUUAAAGAUUUUAUACCACAUUCACCUGCUAAACAUGCUACUUACACAAAUAAAUACCUGUUAAAACAUAAUUAAAAAUAAAAA
rnacentral:lncRNA from 1 species